GCAAAUGGAGGAAGAGAUGCAUGAGAAUGACAGACAGGAAUGGAUUGCAAGUUGUGUGGGCGAUAAGAAUGGCUGGUAGGAAUCAAAAUGAGCGUGAAUGGGUGGUAACAAGAGGAGGAAGAGUGGGAGCCGAAUGGGAUGUGAGAAAAUGGAAGAAUGAGAUAGACAAAGAAGUGAAAUGUGUGGGACUGAAUGAAUGGAAGAAUGAGAUGGAAAGAAAGAAGACCCUGGAAUGGUACAAGGAGAAAGAGGCCCCGAGGUAUGAAAGGUGGUAUGAUGGAAGCCUGGGCGGUGAUCUUCUCUUCCGAGCGAGGGCACAGUGUAUGGAUGUGAAUGCAAGGAGUUACAGGUGGUCUGAGUCCCGCAGCAAAGUGUGCCAGAUGUGUGACAUGGGAGAGGAUGAGACGGUGGAACAUGUGGUGCUGGAGUGUGUGCAGUAUGCCAGAGACAGGAAUGAGAUGAUGCAAGUGAUACUGACUGAGUUAGGGUAUGAUAGGAAUGAAAGAGUGGAGAAGACAGGAAAGGAAUGGAUGGUGUUGUUGCUGGGACUGGGUAGAGAGGCCAAUGAAAGGAUGAUUGAGGCGGUGAAACAGUUUCUGGAGAGAAUGUGGCGUGCCAGGUGUAUGAACAAUUAGGAUAGAGGAUGCUGUUCGUUUCUCUUUUUUUUUCCCCUUUCUACAGGAGUUGCCGAUCCAAAGGCCUGGCUCAGGAGUGAUCCUGUGCCACCUGUACCAUCAAGAUCAAGAUCAAGAUCAAGAUGCUUUGUUUACCUUUGUCACAGUGGUCCUCCUCCUGCUGUCCGUGUGUCUGUGUGUGUGUGUCUUUUGAAGGCACCUCUCAGGUCGCUGUUGUCUCCUCUGCCUGUAGCAGAAUAGGAGAGCAUCUAGCUCUCGUUCCCACAGUCAGCUACAGCCCACCCUUGAGAGGAGUUGGACGUAUGGUCAGGAGGCAGACACAUGGAAGAGAUUGGGUGGCAGGGAAGUGAAAUGUGUGGGACUGAAUGAAUGGAAGAAUGAGAUAGAAAGAAAGAAGACCUUGGAAUGGUACAAGGAGAAAGAGGCCCCGAGGUAUGAAAGGUGGUAUGAUGGAAGCCUGGGCGGUGAUCUCUUCCGAGCGAGGGCACAGUGUAUGGAUGUGAAUGCAAGGAGUUACAGGUGGUCUGAGUCCCGCAGCAAAGUGUGCCAGAUGUGUGACAUGGGAGAGGAUCAGACGGUGGAACAUGUGGUGUUGGAGUGUGUGAAGUAUGCCAGAGACAGGAAUGAGAUGAUGCAAGUGAUACUGACUGAGUUAGGGCAUGAUAGGAAUGAAAGAGUGGAGAAGACAGGAAAGGAAUGGAUGGUGUUGUUGCUGGGACUGUGUAGAGAGGCGAAUGAAAGGAUGAUUGAGGCGGUGAAAGAGUUUCUGGAGAGAAUGUGGCGUGCCAGGUGUAUGAACAAUUAGGAUAGAGGAUGCUGUUCGUUUCUCUCUUUUUUCCCUUUCUACAGGAGUUGCCGAUCCAAAGGCCUGGCUCAGGAGUGAUCCUGUGCCACCUGUACCAUCAAGAUCGAGAGAGAGAGAAAAAGAGAGGCCAUGUUUGAGCUAGUUCACUUAUCUGUGGUUCCUCUCCCCCUCUCUCUCUCUAAUUAGAGCGAAAAUGGCGGCGGAGGAGCUCAAGGAUGAAGCCAACGACUAUUUGAAAAAAUUAAGAAAAUUGAAGCCUUCUCUCAGACAUGAACAAAGAAGAGCAAUUCUUGACAAACAGGUAAACAAACAAACAAACAAACAAGGACAGCGUUGAGUCUCGCAGGUCACGCCAGCCUCUCGGAAACUGUUGCUUGCUUCACCUGGCAAUUGUGAACCACCAAGCAAAAACCGAGCCACCUUAUUGAUCGACAAGGGAUCACCAUCAGCCCUCCCAUUGGCCCAGAGCUUUGUGGAUUGUGAUUGGACGGCUGGCUGGCUGACCUGACUUGACCUGACCUCAACUGAGCCAACAUGAUUUACAUUUUCCUCGUUGACACUGGCACCAUGAUGACCUUUGACAUGAACCUGGCACUAGAGAGUGUUGAGGUGGUGAAGGGUGCAAUACGCAAUGUUGUCAAGGUGCCCCCAGACAAGCAGGUGCUGCUGGCCUCUGGGGGUGAAACACUGGACUCCUGCAAGCGGGUGUGUCAUUACUCGGCCGACACAGACACGUCCCCCAUCUUUCUGUUCUCCAAGGUGGCCAUUGAGGGAGCAGCCCCCCAACCCCCUCUGUGCAGCCUGGCGGGGACGGCGACCUCAGGGCACAGGUGGAGGGGUGCCUCAACAUGCCAGCCACCUACAACAGUGUGGUGGCGCGGACACAGUUAGCACAGCAGUUUUACGAGCACGCCAGUGAGGUCACCAGAACGUACCACCAACUUGUUCACAACCAGCAUCUGCAGCAGCAAGGCUGGGCAGUAGUGUUGGGCAACUUGGAAGACGUUGUGGCAGCCUUCAGAGCAAGACAUGAUGCAUUCCAGCAAAACUUUGUAAUCUCAGUGGCCGAGAGGAGAAGGUCGCCCUGCUUUACUUUUUUGAAGAGGACCUGAAGCUACUGGCAAGGAUUCCAGUCUUCCCUGAACUCUUGGGGAAGACACAAGAGGAAGAGGAAGAGGAGGAAGCUGGGAAGAAGAGGAGGACAAGCACAGCACAGGGAAGAAGAGGAGGACAAGCACAGCACAGAAGAAAGAGGAGGAGGAAGAGAAGGAAGAGGAGGAGGAGGAGGAGGAAGAAGAGGAAGAGCAUGAGAAGGAGAAGAGGGCAGGAGGAGAAGGAGAAAAAAGAGAAACACAGCAGCAGACUCGGGUACUGUUACAGCUCUGCUUCCUCCUACAGGACACGUUCCCAUCACCUUCACGUCCUGGACACGUGCACAAACUUGUGCCUGGGCAGUCUCACUGCAGCAGCUGCCAGUGCUGUGGCUGGGUGGCAGGAGGGAGGGACAAGCUGGCCACCCUCUCUGUCACCACCUGCUGGGGAAAGACCACCAUUAUCAUCAUCUUUGUUUUCCUUUUUUGUUUUCUUUCACAAUUUACAAGGAAUAUUAACAGAGUUUGUUUUGUUAGUGUUGUCUGUUUGUUAUUAAAUGAUGUGUUGAUUGUGUUGUUGUUGUUUAUGUGUUAGUUGUUGUUGUGUUUUGUAUGUGUGACUGAUGAAUAAAGGCAGUCGUGUCACACU